rnacentral:rRNA from 1 species
UGGGGAAUAUUGCACAAUGGGCGGAAGCCUGAUGCAGCGACGCCGCGUGGGGGAUGAAGGCCUUCGGGUUGUAAACUCCUUUCGACAGGGACGAAGCUUUUGUGACGGUACCUGUAUAAGAAGCACCGGCUAACUACGUGCCAGCAGCCGCGGUAAUACGAAGGGGGCUAGCGUUGUUCGGAUUUACUGGGCGUAAAGCGCACGUAGGCGGACUUUUAAGUCAGGGGUGAAAUCCCGGGGCUCAACCCCGGAACUGCCUUUGAUACUGGAAGUCUUGAGUAUGGUAGAGGUGAGUGGAAUUCCGAGUGUAGAGGUGAAAUUCGUAGAUAUUCGGAGGAACACCAGUGGCGAAGGCGGCUCACUGGACCAUUACUGACGCUGGGGUGCGAAAGCGUGGGGAGCAAACAGG